CAGAUAUUUAUAUAUACACGAGUUAGUAUAGACGUAAAUAUUUCCUGGCUUGUCAACUAGGAGGGCUUAGAAUCAAUGACACUCAAGUGGAAAUGAACAUACCUACUGCUCAUAUCUUGUUUGCCCUUUAAAAAAUAAAAACCAUAGAUCCUUGGAGAAAUAUCGGAUUCUAGGACUGAAGAAGGAAAUAUACACAUACAAGAUGAGCCUGGAACAUCUCAAAAUACAAAACCAAACUCAACUAAUAUGAAGUGGCUGCACCAAUUUGAAUUCCCACCAGUAAUGCACGAGGUUCUUUUUCUCCACAUCCUCACCAACACUUGUUAUUUCUUGUCAUUUUGAUUUUAGCUAUUCUAACUGAUGUAUGACUAUGGUUUUGAAUCACUAAAUUGUACACCUGAAACUAAUGUAACACUGUGUGUCAGCUAUACUCAUAUUUAAAAAAAUACUAAAUUAAAUGCAAACAGGAAAGAAAAGAACAGCAUCAAGACACGUAUAAUGUAUAUACAUGGGAAUCCAUCUUGGUAGUUUAAUGUUGCUAUAAUUAUGUUUAGUCAGGAAAAGGUAUUAAGAAGCCGAGCAUCAUUAAGAAAAUAGUUCUCCGGAGACUACCUAUUUAAAGAAUAAAUCUUCCCCCCAAAGAAAAACAAUAAAAUCCCUAAGGGUACAAAGUUUGUUUGUUUAUGAACAAUUAUAUGUUAUUGUUUUUAAAAAAUUUUUUAAAUUUAUUUGACA
rnacentral:lncRNA from 1 species